UACGAAGGGGGCUAGCGUUGCUCGGAAUCAUUGGGCGUAAAGCGCGUGUAGGCGGCUUGGUAAGUCUGGUGUGAAACCUCGGGGCUCAACCCCGAGCCUGCACUGGAUACUGCCUCGCUCGAGUCCGGGAGGGGAGAGCGGAAUUCCUAGUGUAGCGGUGAAAUGCGCAGAUAUUAGGAAGAACACCGGUGGCGAAGGCGGCUCUCUGGAACGGUACUGACGCUGAGACGCGAAAGCGUGGGGAGCAAACAGG
rnacentral:rRNA from 1 species